rnacentral:rRNA from 1 species
UACAGAGGGUGCAAGCGUUGUUCGGCCUUCUUGUUCUUCCCUUUCUCUUAGGCGGUGCGGUAAGUGUGUUGUGAAAUCUUCGGGCUCAACUCGAAGCCUGCAACGCAGACUGCCGUGCUUGAGUCCGGGAGAGGUGAGUGGAACUGCGAGUGUAGAGGUGAAAUUCGUAGAUAUUCGCAAGAACACCAGUGGCGAAGGCGGCUCACUGGCCCGGUACUGACGCUGAGGCACGAAAGCGUGGGGAGCAAACAGG